UGACUGACUGAGUGCCAGCAGCCGCGGUAAUACGUAGGGGGCAAGCGUUAUCCGGAUUUACUGGGUGUAAAGGGAGCGUAGACGGAGCAGCAAGUCUGAUGUGAAAGACCGGGGCUUAACCCCGGGCCUGCAUUGGAAACUGUUGAUCUUGAGUGCCGGAGGGGUAAGCGGAAUUCCUGGUGUAGCGGUGAAAUGCGUAGAUAUCAGGAGGAACACCGGUGGCGAAGGCGGCUUACUGGACGGCAACUGACGUUGAGGCUCGAAAGCGUGGGGAGCAAACAGGAUUAGAUACCCUGGUAGUCCACGCCGUAAACAUGACUACUAGGUGUCGGGGCACAAAGUGCUUCGGUGCCGCAGCCAACGCAAUAAUAGUCCACCUGGGGAGUACGUCGCAAGAUGAAACCAAAGGAAUUGACGGGGACCCGCACAAGCGGUGGACAUGUGGUUAAU
rnacentral:rRNA from 1 species